CCCUCCUCUCUCUGACUCGUUCCCUUCUUUCUCUGACUCGUUCCCUCCUCUCUCUGACUCGUUUCCUUCUUGCCCUGACUCGUCCCGGCCUCAGGACUCUCCCGUAUGAUGUUGAUGCUGACAGACGAUUUGUUGCUGAAAUCAGCAGCGUAGGAUCCAGACUCCUGGCUCCGUGAUUGGUCCGUGCCGUCUUUCCUGACGCCGUGGCUGCUCUCGGAUGGCGACGGCGAGCUUAAACAGCUUCUGGACGCCACCUCGUGCAUUAGCACCGCCCCCGCCGCCAUAGCGGCCGCUCCAGCCAGCAGAUCGAGCUUUGACGCCUUUUUCGGUGUUUCUAUUUUUGACUGAGCCUCUUUUUUUUCUUUCUUAGACUUUUUAGACAAAGCUGUGCUCUCUCUAGAUUUAGAUUUGUGUUUAACCAGUGCGAGCGGUCGCGGGCUACCGGCGCUCUCUCCAUCCAGAGCAUCGGCCAGCCGAGACGCAGGUUCAGAGGCGACGCCUGAAAGUGUCUGUCUGGCGUCAGGACUUUGUUUCCAGUCUGGUUCCAGCUUCCUGCCGACCUCCAUCAGCCGGCUUUUCCCCUGAGCUGGCCUGAGCCGCGGCUUGGACGCCGCCUUCCUUAUGUCCCCGACACUUGGUUUGUCUCUACUGGGUUUCCUCUGCAGCUCCUCCAUGGCCAUGAUCAGAUUCUCUUUGUUCUGGUUGGUUGUUUUGUGUCUCUGUGGGCUCCGAGAGGCCCGAGAGCGAGCGCUGUGGCUCCUCAGGCCCUCAGGAGGGAGCGCCCGGCGGGGAGAGGCAGCCUUGCUCU